rnacentral:rRNA from 1 species
UUGAGAGUUUGAUCCUGGCUCAGAACGAACGCUGGCGGCAGGCUUAACACAUGCAAGUCGAACGCACUCUUCGGAGUGAGUGGCAGACGGGUGAGUAACGCGUGGGAAUCUACCCAUCCCUACGGAAUAGCUCCGGGAAACUGGAAUUAAUACCGUAUACGCCCUUCGGGGGAAAGAUUUAUCGCUAAGAGAUGGACCCGCGUUGGAUUAGAUAGUUGGUGAGGUAACGGCUCACCAAGUCAGCGAUCCAUAGCUGGUUUGAGAGGAUGAUCAGCCACACUGGGACUGAGACACGGCCCAGACUCCUACGGGAGGCAGCAGUGGGGAAUAUUGGACAAUGGGCGAAAGCCUGAUCCAGCAAUGCCGCGUGAGUGAUGAAGGCCUUAGGGUUGUAAAGCUCUUUUACCAGGGAUGAUAAUGACAGUACCUGGAGAAUAAGCUCCGGCUAACUCCGUGCCAGCAGCCGCGGUAAUACGGAGGGUG